rnacentral:tRNA from 1 species
AGGAUUAUAAUUUAAUCAAAAUAUUUGAAUUGCAAUCAAAAUUUACUAAUUUAACUAGUUAAUCUUA